GAUGAACGCUGGCGGCGUGCCUAAUACAUGCAAGUAGAACGCUGAAGGAGGAGCUUGCUCUUCUGGAUGAGUUGCGAACGGGUGAGUAACGCGUAGGUAACCUGCCUGGUAGCGGGGGAUAACUAUUGGAAACGAUAGCUAAUACCGCAUGACAACAGUUAUUGCAUGAUAACUGUUUAAAAGGGGCAACUGCUCCACUACCAGAUGGACCUGCGUUGUAUUAGCUAGUUGGUGAGGUAACGGCUCACCAAGGCGACGAUACAUAGCCGACCUGAGAGGGUGAUCGGCCACACUGGGACUGAGACACGGCCCAGACUCCUACGGGAGGCAGCAGUAGGGAAUCUUCGGCAAUGGACGGAAGUCUGACCGAGCAACGCCGCGUGAGUGAAGAAGGUUUUCGGAUCGUAAAGCUCUGUUGCAAGAGAAGAACGAGUGUGAGAGUGGAAAGUUCACACUGUGACGGUAUCUUAACAGAAAGGGACGGCUAACUACGUG
rnacentral:rRNA from 1 species